rnacentral:rRNA from 1 species
CCACGCUGUAAACGAUGUCGAUUUAGAGGUUGUGGUCUUGAACCGUGGCUUCUGGAGCUAACGCGUUAAAUCGACCGCCUGGGGAGUACGGCCGCAAGGUUAAAACUCAAAUGAAUUGACGGGGGCCCGCACAAGCGGUGGAGCAUGUGGUUUAAUUCGAUGCAACGCGAAGAACCUUACCUACUCUUGACAUCCAGCGAAUCCUUUAGAGAUAGAGGAGUGCCUUCGGGAACGCUGAGACAGGUGCUGCAUGGCUGUCGUCAGCUCGUGUUGUGAAAUGUUGGGUUAAGUCCCGCAACGAGCGCAACCCUUAUCCUUUGUUGCCAGCACGUGAUGGUGGGAACUCAAAGGAGACUGCCGGUGAUAAACCGGAGGAAGGUGGGGAUGACGUCAAGUCAUCAUGGCCCUUACGAGUAGGGCUACACACGUGCUACAAUGGCAGAUACAAAGAGAAGCGACCUCGCGAGAGCAAGCGGAACUCAUAAAGUCUGUCGUAGUCCGGAUUGGAGUCUGCAACU